CAAGUGCUUGAAGUGUCUGAGCACUUCUUUUUCCCUAUGUGCCACUGAAGUUUCUCUUUUCUUCAUCAGUAGGAACUGAGGCAAACGACGAUCCGCAACGUUUUCCUUUACUUCACAUUCCUCAUCUCCAUCGACACAAACAACGAUUCAUGGCCGGGUUUCAGUUUCUGUCGGAUCUCGUCCAUUCCUGUUAGCAGUCCACAACCCAGCAACAGCCAGGGGUUUGCUCGCUACUGAAUCCAGGGGAAGAAGGUCCCACUUCACCACCGAAAACGCAUGAGCUUGUUGCAAAUCCAGAUGUCAGAAGCCAUGCAUAAUGAUAUUGACAACGGGAUUAGGUUUUGAAAUGUGAAUUGUUUGUGUGGCUUGAGAGCAAGUGUGAGGAUAUCGGAUAAGCGAAAUGAGAAUCGAUACAGGGUUUACUAAUGUUGCCCAAGGGAUCAAUGUGGUUUUUUUGAAUGGUGUAUUCCAUUGAAUAUGCCAUUGUCAUAUGUGGAGGAUUUCCAACAACUACAAAUAGAGCUAUGUGUAUUGCAAUAGGAAUUGAAGGCCGUGCAUGAGACGGUCCAACCCAUUGUUGAGACUAAAAGAAUGGUGAAGAUUAUGUUCGCUAGAUGGUGCCUGCUAUGCGCGACUGUUGCACUACUGCUCACUAUACCAAUGGUGUAAAAAAAAGUGAUAUGCUGUCCACUUUGUGUUUCCUUGCUACGCAUAUUUGUGUAGGGUUUUUUUGACAUAACAACCUCUUGUAUUUUGCUACUGCUACCCAUAUGUAUGUUUUAAAACUGUUUGCAUAAACCCGUCUAGCAACUUCUCCUGUAUAUAUUAAACAUAUUAGUAUCUUACUAAUUCCACAUAUCAUUUUGUGGAAUUAGCACCAUCGAUACAACA